UAAUGUAAAGUAUAUAAUAUCAUUGAGGCAUUUGCUGGACGAAUGCAUACAAGUAUUGUUAUGCUUUAUAUUACUAAUCAGAGACCGUAAAAUAUGUAUAUUUGAUCACUAAACUAAACUAAACUAAUUCCUUGACUGAAAUUGAUGUUUUAAAUAACUCAUUUCAUGGAUAUGAUCUUGAAAGAUCUGGUGGAGAACCAUAUUUGGUGAGCUUUGCUCAUCAAUAUAAUAACGUUAGCUAAAACCGCUACAUAAUUGGUGGAGGGAAUGCGGGCGCAGUUUUAAAACUCGUUUUGUAAGCAGAACUCAGUGACUAUUCAUGUGUGUUUUUAUGGAUGUUUAUUGAAACCGAAUACUCUCUUAAAUGGCACUUUAUGUAUGAAUGAAGGUGUGGACCCACCCACAUAUCCUUGGCAGACUCUUGAGCUUCUCGCAGAGAAAACCUCAGCCUCUGUCAAAGAUUUAGUGACAAUAUAAAGACAAAGAAAUCUCUUUAUAGCGCACUAUACUAUUAUUUAACCGGCCUAAAUUGAGCGAAGAAAUCCUCUUUUAGCGAGAAGGUAGAGCGAGACUCGCUCCCUUAAGUUACUGCGCCGUAACAAGCCUCUGUGACCUAUUUAGGAAAAGCCCAAGGUACUGUUAAUGAUGGUCAAGUUAACUGCAAUUUAAUGUGACCCUAUAAAACGAAGAAAUCUUUUAUAGAGAGUCCCGGUAUUAUUUAACCGCCCUAAAUUGAGCGAAGAAAUCCUCUUUUAGCGCGAAGAAGGUAGAGCGAGACUCGCUCCCUUAAGUUACUGUGCCGAAACAAGCCUCUGUGACCUAUUUAGGAAAAGCCCAAGGUACUGUUAAUGAUGGUUAAGUUACCUGCAAUUUAAUGUGACCCUAUAAAAUGAAGAAAUCUUUUAUAGAGAGUCCCGAUAUCGUUUGACCGCCCCAAUCUGAGCGAAGAAAUCCUCUUGUUAGCGCGAAAGAAAUAGUGGAGCGAAUUUCCUCCCUAGUUCGUGAACGGCCGAAUUAUGUGUAAAUUAGAUUUUGAAGCAUUGCGUGUUCCAAUGUUUUCAUCUAAGACACACCGCUUCCCGAAGUUUAACCAUUAGACUAGCUAACUAAUGCGUGCUUUCUCGUUUUCUCUUGAGUAGACGAGGCGAAAGGAUACUGUGUACUGUAUAUGUACUUUACUGUAUAUUGUAUAGUUAAACAGUAGAUGACGACCGUUUAAAGGGGAGUGUGAUAAAAAUCUUGAUCAAGUGUUUUUUUUUUUAUGUUACGUUCGGCAAAUAACUUUCAGGAUGGCGAAGAAAUCCCGUUAGUCAGUUAUAGUGUAGUAUGUGUACGUUGAAAAGCCAUGUACCCGUGUUCAGGUAAACUGACAUGAGCCAUUAGAACUGCGAUCAAAUUACACUUGUCGCCAUUGCAAAUGUGCGUUAAUGUAAGUGUGAUUCCACAUAGAAUGUGGAACCGGAAGUCCGGCAGAAGACACAUUACCGUCUACUAACACUAGAGGUCAAUUUGUCUUAAAGUGUCUAACACUUCUCCUGUCUCAUCUCUGCCCGACUUCCCCCCUUUGCUCGGGCAACGCUAUCUUGUGUGAAGUCUCAGGCAGUCUACUCCUUUUGUUUGAUUUGUCUGAUUUCAUUUUAUGAUUUCAUUAUUCUGCUAUUGCACCGUUUACUUUAUUUGAGAAUAUUUAUUAUUUGUUAUUAUAUACAAACUAUAAUGAUAAUUAAUAUUAUUGUGGUUCGGGGCGUUUCAUUUGUUGGGACUGUGUGGGUCUGGUCUGGUUGGUCUUGUUUUGUGGUCGAUGUCGGACAACAGAGGAAUAAAGUUAAUUAUGCCAUUACUGCUUUUCGUUGGUUGUCCCUCUGUUGUCUGUUGUUGAUCACGGAAUGGGACCGGGUUGGACCUGCACGGUUUCGGCGGGUGGGGCUUCCUGGGUCGCGACUCGUGGGCUCUCCCUGUUCUUCGUGGACGUUGCUCGGUGGCUUUGGUCGGGGUCACUGAGUGCAGCUAUGACACGUCAGAGGAGAUCUGGCCCUCCCGGCUGAGCCUGGUUUCUCCCGAGGUUUUUAUUUCUCCAUUAUUCAGCAUUGGAGUUUGGGUUCCUCGCCACAGCAGAGCAGUGCAGUGUUGGCUUGCUCACCGGGAGACUGCAUUUAUUUAUUUAUUCAUUUAUUUAUUAGAUAUUAUUUAUUAUAAUGAUCUUGCUUGGUCUAUAAACACCAUGCACUGUGCUGUGUUUUACCUUUCUGUGUUUUUCUUAUUUGCUCCUGUAAAGCUGCUUUGGAACAAUGCACAUUGUGAAAAGCGCUAUAUAAAAUAAAAUUGAAUUGAAUAUUAUUCCAUUAUUGUUCAUUAUUGUGAAAACAUGUUGUUAACGAAUACUUUUCGUCAUAGUUUUCGUCAAAGAAAUUAACACUGUUUCAAAGUAGGACUGCUACAUCAAGAGUCUAUCACACUAUACAUUGUAGACUCACCCAAGCAGGAGAUCAUCCUAGGUUUUCCCUGGCUCUCUGCUCAUGACCCUGACAUCUCUUGGCAUCAUGGUGAACUCACACAUUGGUCCUCUUUCUGCCUAAAGAACUGUUUUCCCACAAUCCCAAAACCAUGUCUAUCCACGAGUAUAGAAAGCCCAAGGACCAACACUACCAUGAACAUUCCCACCUGUUACAACGACCUCUCUGAAGUGUUCAGUAAAACCAAAGCCACACAAUUACCACCACACCGGUCAUGGGAUUUUUUGUUGAGAAAAAGGACAGAGGACUUCGACCAUGUAUUGAUUACAGAAUACUCAACAACGUCACUGUGAAAUAUUGUUACCCACUGCCCUUAGUUCCUUCAGCCCUCGAACAGUUACGAGAAGCCACGAUCUACACUAAACUAGACUUAAGAAGUGCAUAUAAUCUGAUUAGAAUUAAGGAAAGUGAUCAAUGGAAAACAGCUUUUAUCACUACCCAAGGUCACUACGAAUACCAAGUCAUGCCCUACGGACUAGCCAAUGCCCCAGCCAUAUUCCAAUCAUUCAUCAAUGAAAUUUUGAAAGAUCUACUCAACCAAUUUGUAGUAGCCUACAUUGAUGAUAUACUCAUAUGCUCCAAGACUGAAGCUGAACAUUUCAAGCAUGUCAGAACCAUUCUUUCACAUCUCCUAGAAAAUCAACUUUACGUAAAGGCAGAAAAAUGUGAGUUUCAUGUUAGACAAACCUCGUUCCUGGGCUACCAAAUAAGUUACCAAGGAGUUAAGAUGAAUAACGACAAAAUCUGUGCUGUCACAGAAAGGCCUCAACCGUCAACAGUGAAAGAAUUACAAAGAUUCCUAGGUUUCACAAACUUCUACAGACGGUUCAUUCACAAUUACAGCACUGUGGCUUCUUCUCUCACCUCUCUACUGAAAAGGAAACCUUCGAAACUAAGAUGGACUAUGGAGGCCAACAAUGCAUUCAUCACUCUCAAGGAGAGGUUCACAACUGCCCCCAUUCUGAAACACCCAGAUCCGAAUCUACCAUUUAUCAUCGAAGUAGAUGCUUCUGAUUGUGGAGUUGGAGCAGUACUGUCCCAAAGACAUGACCAACCAGGAAAAUUGCAUCCCUGCACCUUCUACUCAAGAAAAUUAACCAUGGCAGAGCAAAAUUAUGAUGUAGGAAACAAGGAACUACUCUCGGUGAAGGUUGCCAUGGAAGUAUGGAGACACUGGCUAGAGGGAGCCACCCACCCAUUCCAAGUUAUCACAAAUCACAAGAACCUAGAAUACACGAAGAGUGCUAAACGUUUAAAUCCAUGCCAAGCCAGGUGGUCAUUGUUCUUCAGUCAUUUCCAAUUCACCGUAACGUACAGACCAGGCAGCAAGAACAGCAAAGCAGAUGCUCUGUCCAGGCAAUAUGAUUCCAUUCACAAACACCAUAUAUCUGAACCUAUCCUUCCUCCAUCUGUCAUAUCUUUACACUUCAUCCUCCAAUUCUAAUGUAUUAUUAAUAAUACAAACACUUUUUUUACUUACCAGCUGUUUUCAAACUAAAUAAUGUUUUUUCCAUGUUUUUCAAGUUAGUCAUCGGUAGUAGUGGACACAAAACACUUUUCUGUAGUGCACAGUAAACAGGGCUCUGUAAAUUACUUUUAUGGGGGAAUUAUUAACUUAGUGGGGACCUUCAGAAAGACUACAAACCUAUAUUAAAGACAGACAAUGUGAAAAGAAUAUUUCCUACUGCCUGUUUUUAUUUUUUUGCCACUAACGUGUGUUUCCAGUACAUUCAGACCGUCCACAGUGGACGCACUUACAAACGUACACAGCGGAGACCUCAGCACCAUCUUCGGUUACUCUGCACUAGCUUGUCUGGCUGUAGGGCUCUGGAACUGCCAGUCAUCUGUCAACAAGGCAGACUUCAUCCCGGCCUUUGCCAGUCAGUCUACUGUAAUCUUAAUGUUCUGGAUCUGUAGAGAACACUUCUACUCCAUCGGCCCUCUCCACCUACUUCAACUUCACUCACACUGGAACAGGUUUACUUGUUUCCAACACCUGGAAAUUAACUCCUCUGUCUUUUCCUUGCAGCAACUCCUCAUUCGAAUACCAUGCAAUCACCAUCACUUAUCCAUCAAAAAUACAUUGUGUUGUCAUCUGUUGCCCUCGAGGUCAACUGGGAAACUUCGUAGAAGAGCUUGACACGCUGCUGUCCUUUAUCCCUGAAGAUGGCACUCCACUGGUAAUGCUAGGUGACUUCAACAUCCACCUAGACAUACCAAGCAGCACAAGAAGCCUCUUAGGUCUCCUCUCCUCGUUUGACCUUCACAGGGCACCCCUCCCACCCACAGAGGACAACAGCUCGAUCUUGUUCUGACUCGUAACUGCACCGCUAAUAAUAUUCUAGUUACUCCCCUGCAUGUCUCUCACCAUUUCUUUAUAAAGUUCACUGUAACACUCCCUGCAAUCUCACCUCCCACCCCUAACCCUGUUUCUUUCUGUCAUAAUCUUUGUUACCUCUCUCCCAUCUGCUUUUCAUCCAUGGUGUAUUCCUCCCUACACACGACAAGCCUUUACUCAUCUCUCAACAUUGAGGAAGCUACUGAUAGUCUCUGUACAACCUUAACAUCCUGUCUUGACAGUGUCUGCCCUCUUACCUCUAGGCCUGCACUUGCUACACCCUCUUGCCCCUGGCUUUCUGAGACUCUUUGCAACCAUCGGACCAAGCUAAGGGCUGCAGAGAGGAAGUGGUGCAAGUCAAGGGACCCUGCUAAUCUCUCCAAGUAUCAACAUCUUAACUCAUUUGCUACUGAUAUGUCUGCAGCCAAAACCAAGUACUUUCAAAACAAAACCCAAACUGCAUCUAACCUGCGUCAACAUUCUCCUCUUUUCUCUGUCCCCCUUCACCUCCCACCAAUACCUCGCUGACUUCUGAUGCCAAAUUCUUCAUUGAUAAAGUGGAGACCAUCAGCAGGCAAUUCCCUGCUCAACGCAUCCCUGAUCUCUCUCUCUCUUACCCCUUGCUAUACUUAACUCCCUUCUUUCUCUCCCCUAUGGGAGAGUGUUGUCUCCAAAAUUCUCCUUUCCACUCGGCCUACUACCUGCCCCCUUGACCCGAUCCCUUCCCACCUCCUACGGGCUAUCUCUCUGUCUCUACUGCCUCAACUCGCACACAUUAUAAAUACCUCCAUCACAACUGGUACUGUCCCCACUUCAUUUAAACAAGCCCUGGUAACACAUGUACUCAAAAAACCGACACACGACCCCUCAGCGGUCAGCGACUACAGACCAAUCUCACUCCUGCCUUUCCUUUCCAAGGCCCUCGAAAGGGUUGUAUUUAACCAACUCUCUGCCUAUCUCUCACAGCACAACAUUCUGGACAGUCAACAAUCCGGCUUCAAGAAAGGACAUUCUAUGGAGACCGCUCUCCUGUUAAAUCCUUGUCAUGUGUCCUUAUUCUGCUUGAUCUCUCUGCUGCAUUUGACACUGUGUACCACCAGAUCCUGCUGUCCACUCUCUCCAAACUGGGCAUCUCUGGAACUGCACUGGAACUGGUUUGACUCUUUUCUCACAGGCAGAUCCUUUAAGGUAUCCUGGAGAGGUGAGACAUCCAGAUCUCACCAGCUGACAACUGGAGUUCCUCAGGGUUUAGUUAUUGCACCUCUCUUCUUUUCUAUAUAUACCACCUCCCUGGGUCCAACUAUUAAGGUACAAGGGUUCUCGUACCAUUUCUAUGCAAAUGAUACGCUUUAUUUCUCUUUUCAGCCAGAUGACCCCACCAUCUCUGCCCGUGUCUCUGACUGCCUUCUGGACAUCUCUUCUUGGAUGAAAGAGCAUCACCUACAAAUCAACCUCUCCAAGACAGAACUCCUGGUUAUACUGGCCCACCCUUCAAUUGUACACCACCUUACCAUUGAGCUCGGAUUCUCAACUAUAACACCAACCAUGUCUGCGAAGAACCUGGGGGUGAUGUUCGACGAUCAGCUGAAAUUCACCUUUCACAUCGCAGCAACCACACAAACUUGCAGGUUGUAGCCCAGGCGGCUGGAAAAGGUGUGACUGUAACAGGAGGAAAACAAUUCAACAACUGGAAUUGGGAGAACGCUGUUAUUUUUGCUGCCACGGUCA